CCUACGGGCGGCAGCAGUGGGGAAUAUUGGACAAUGGGCGAAAGCCUGAUCCAGCCAUGCCGCGUGUGUGAAGAAGGCCUUCGGGUUGUAAAGCACUUUCAGUGGGGAAGAAAGCCUUGGGGCUAAUACCCUCGAGGAAGGACAUCACCCACAGAAGAAGCACCGGCUAACUCCGUGCCAGCAGCCGCGGUAAUACGGAGGGUGCGAGCGUUAAUCGGAAUUACUGGGCGUAAAGCGCGCGUAGGCGGUCUGAUAAGCCGGUUGUGAAAGCCCCGGGCUCAACCUGGGAACGGCAUCCGGAACUGUCAGGCUAGAGUGCGGGAGAGGAAGGUAGAAUUCCCGGUGUAGCGGUGAAAUGCGUAGAGAUCGGGAGGAAUACCAGUGGCGAAGGCGGCCUUCUGGACUGACACUGACGCUGAGGUGCGAAAGCGUGGGUAGCAAACAGGAUUAGAUACCCUAGUAGUC
rnacentral:rRNA from 1 species